CCUACGGGUGGCAGCAGUGGGGAAUAUUGCACAAUGGGCGGAAGCCUGAUGCAGCGACGCCGCGUGAGGGAUGACGGCCUUCGGGUUGUAAACCUCUUUCAGUAGGGAAGCGGUACCUGCAGAAGAAGCGCCGGCUAACUACGUGCCAGCAGCCGCGGUAAUACGUAGGGCGCAAGCGUUGUCCGGAAUUAUUGGGCGUAAAGAGCUCGUAGGCGGUUUGUCGCGUCUGCUGUGAAAGCCCGGGGCUCAACCCCGGGUCUGCAGUGGGUACGGGCAGACUAGAGUGCAGUAGGGGAGACUGGAAUUCCUGGUGUAGCGGUGAAAUGCGCAGAUAUCAGGAGGAACACCGAUGGCGAAGGCAGGUCUCUGGGCUGUACUGACGCUGAGGAGCGAAAGCAUGGGGAGCGAACAGGAUUAGAUACCCUUGUAGUC
rnacentral:rRNA from 1 species